rnacentral:rRNA from 1 species
UUCCGGUUGAUCCUGCCGGACCUGAUUGCUAUCGGAUUGGUACUAAGCCAUGCGAGUAAGUGUAGCAAUACACUGCAGACGGCUCAGUAACACGUGGUCAAGCUAACCUAUGGACGUGGAUAACCUCGGGAAACUGAGAAUAAACCGCGAUAGAUCAUGAUGCCUGGAAUGGCUCAUGGUCGAAAUAGUUUACUGCCGUAGGAUGCGACUGCGGCCUAUCAGUUUGUUGGUGAGGUAAUGGCCCACCAAGACUAUUACAGGUACGGGCUCUGAGAGGAGAAGCCCGGAGAUGGGUACUGAGACACGGACCCAGGCCCUAUGGGGCGCAGCAGGCGAGAAACCUUAGCAAUGUGCGAAAGCACGACUGGGUUAGUCCGAGUGAUUCCUGCUAAAGGAAUCUUUUGCCGGUCCUAAAAGCACCGGUGAAUAAGGGGUGGGCAAGUCUGGUGUCAGCCGCCGCGGUAAUACCAGCACCUCGAGUGAUCAGGACGUUUAUUGGGCCUAAAGCAUCCGUAGCUGGCUUUGCAAGUCUCCGGUUAAAUCAACCUGCUCAACAGAUUGGCCGCUGGAGAUACUACAAGGCUAGGGAGUGGGAGAGGCAGACGGUAUUCGGGGGGUAGGGGUAAAAUCCUCUGAUCCUCUGAGGACCACCAGUGGCGAAGGCGGUCUGCCAGAACACGUUCGACAGUGAGGGAUGAAAGCUGGGGGAGCAAACCGGAUUAGAUACCCGGGUAGUCCCAGCUGUAAACGAUGCAAACUCGGUGAAGCAUUGGCUUAAUGCUAAUGCUGUGCCGCAGGGAAGCCGUUAAGUUUGCCGCCUGGGAAGUACGGUCGCAGAUUGAACUUAAAGGAUUGGCGGGGGGAGCACCACAGGGUGAGCCUGCGUUCAUGGAUUCAACGCCG